rnacentral:RNase_P_RNA from 1 species
UGAGUAGCACAGAUGGUCGCGCCUUUUGUAAGGUGAGGAAAGUCCGGGCUUCAUAGGGCAGGGUGCCGGAUAACGUCCGGUGGAGGCGACUCCCAGGCUAGUGCAACAGAAAUAAACCGCCUAACCGUUAGGUUAGGUAAGGAUGGAAAGGUGGCUUAAGAGACCACCGCCCUUCUGGUAACAGAAGGGGCAGAUGUAAACCCCACCCGAAGCAAGACCGAACAUGAAGCGAUACGGUUGCCCGCCGUGCUUCAGGGUAGGUCGCGUAGCAUCGGCGAAAGCUGGUGCUUGAGCCGUAUGGUAACAUACGGUCAAGAUAGAUGACCAUUCAAGACAGAACCCGGCUUAUCGUGCUGCUCAUACC